CGCUUUGGCCGAGUGGUUAAGGC
rnacentral:siRNA from 1 species